AGCGAACGCUGGCGGCAGGCUUAACACAUGCAAGUCGAGCGGGCAUCUUCGGGUGUCAGCGGCGGACGGGUGAGUAACGCGUGGGAACGUGCCUUCUGGUUCGGAAUAACUCAGGGAAACUUGAGCUAAUACCGGAUACGCCCUUUUGGGGAAAGGUUUACUGCCGGAAGAUCGGUCCGCGUCUGAUUAGCUAGUUGGUGGGGUAACGGCCUACCAAGGUGACGAUCAGUAGCUGGUCUGAGAGGAUGAUCAGCCACACUGGGACUGAGACACGGCCCAGACUCCUACGGGAGGCAGCAGUGGGGAAUAUUGGACAAUGGGGGCAACCCUGAUCCAGCCAUGCCGCGUGAGUGAUGAAGGCCUUAGGGUUGUAAAGCUCUUUUAUCCGGGACGAUAAUGACGGUACCGGAGGAAUAAGCCCCGGCUAACUUCGUGCCAGCCGCCGCCGUAA
rnacentral:rRNA from 1 species